AAAUGGGGUGUCCUGGGUGAACCAAAUGCUGGUGUAGGGAAAGGAAUGGGAAUGUUGAGGGGAUGGGAAGAGGCAUCAAGAACAGGAAUAUAAUUUUCCUACAGUGCUGUUCUGCUGAGACUACAGAGUACCUCAGGGAGUCAUGCAUCCUCUUCCUGUUGCUUUACUGAAUCUUAAAGAGUGAUACAGUACUAAUGAUGCCAUUCUAGCAACUGGAGCAGCUUCAGGGGAGAGAGCACAUUAAGGGUGCUGGGAUGGUAAUGGUUGGGAGGAAGCUGAAUGGUAGUAAGAGAGACAUUCUGUCCUGAGAACUCUGAUCCAGUAAGUGAUAUUUGGCUUUGGGGAUGGUUCCUAUUAGCAUUAUGGGAACUAGAGAGUGGCCUCAGAUGGAAGUGCUGACUUUACACAGAUGGUAUCUUUCAUGCGCGUCCGUGUGAAGAGACCACCAAACAGGCUUUGUGUGAGCAAUAAAGCUUUUAAUCACCUGGGUGCCGGCGGGCUGAGUCCAAAAAGACAGUCAGAGAAGGGAGAUGGGGUGGGGACGUUUUAUCGGAUUUGGGUAGGUAAAGGAAAAAGGGGGGUUGUUCUCUGGCAGGCAGGAGUAGGGGUCACAAGGUGCUCAGUAGGGGAGCUUUUAAGCCAGGAUGAGCCAGGAGAAAGAAUUUCACAAGAUAAUGCCAUCAGUUAAGGCAGGAACAGGCCAUUUUCAUUUCUUUUGUAGUGGAAUGUCAUCAGUUAAGGCAGGAACCGGCCAUCUGGAUGUGCAUGUGCAGGUCACAGGGGAUAUGAUGGCUUAGCUUGGGCUCAGAGGCCUGACAUUCCUGUCUUCUUAUAUUAAUAAGAAAAAUAAAAUGAAAUAGUGGUAAAGUGUUGGGAUGGCAAAAAUUUUGGGGGAUGGUAUGGAGAGAUAAUGGGCGAUGUUUCUCAGGGCUGCUUCGAGUGGGAUUAGGGGCGGCGUGGGAACCUAGAGUGGGAGAGAUUAAGCUGAAGGAAGAUUUUGUGGUAAGGGGUGAUAUUGUGGGACUGUUAGAGGAAACAUUUGUCAUUUAGAAUUAUUGAUGAUUGCCUGGAUAUGGUUUUGUAUGAACUGAGAAACUAAAUGGAAUAAGAGAAGGAGAAAAACAGGUAUUAAAGGUCUAAGAAUUGGGAAGACCUAGGACAUCUAAUUAGAGUGCCUAAGGAGAUUCAGCGUAGUCCUGCCAGCAAAGAUUAUUUAUUUACUUCAAGAAUGGCAGUUUGGGGAUACCACCAGGAGAUAUCAGCUGUGAUGGCUUGGAGAAACAGUGUAAACUGGCAGUGUAAACAAGAGCAGGACAUGUAUGAGUAGUUGAGAACAGUGAAUAGGAGUAUGACUAGAGAGAAGAUAGUAGGGAUGACAAGUUUUUUGGGGCACAGUCUAAGUUGGUCUGGUGUCUGGAAUGAGACUGGGGCUUAAUAAAAAGGAGCCUCUAUACAGGAGCUCAAAUGGGCUGUACCUUGUAGCAUUCUGAGGACAGGCCUGACUUCUGAGAAAAGAAAGAGGUAAAAGUUUUUCUAGCCCUUUUUAAGUUGGUGGCUGAGGUUUUAAAAGACAAUUAGUCCAUUCUACUUUUCCUGAAGACUGAGGACUGUAAGGGAUAUAAAGGUUUCAUUGAAUACUAAGAGCCUGAAAAACUGCUUGGCUGAUUUGACUAAUAAAGGCCGGUCUGCUAUCGGACUGUAUAGAGGUGGGAAGGCCAAACCGAGUAAUUGUGUCUGACAGAAGGGAAGAAAUGACUGUGUUGGCCUUCUUAGACCCUGUGGGAAAGGCCUCUACCUAUCCAGUGAAAGUGUCUACCUAGACCAAGAGGUAUUUUAGUUAUCUGACUCGGGGCAUGUUGAGUAAAGCUAAUUUGCCAGUCCUGGGUGGGGGCAAAUCUCUGAGCUUGAUGUGUAGGGAAGGGAGGGGGCCUGAAUAAUCCCUGAGGAGUAGUAGAAUAGCAGAUGGAACACUGAGAAGUUAUUUCCUUGAGGAUACAUUUCCACGAUGGAAAGGAAAUGAGAGGUUCUAAGAGGCGGGCUAGUGGCUUGUACCAUAGCAUAGCCUGCCUUUGCUGGUGUGUGGCGAUUAGGCCUGGUGGAACUGCCAUCAAUAAAUCAAGCGUGAUCAGGGUGAGGAACAGGAAAGGAGAAAAUAUGGGGAAAUGGGGUGAAUGUCAGGUGGAUCAGAGAGAUACAGUCAUGGGGGUCAGGUGUGGUAUCAGGAAUAAUGUGGGAGGCCGGAUUGACGUCCGGGCCAGGAACAAUGGUAAUUGUGGGACUUAACAAAGAACGAGUACAGCUGAAGGAGCCGGGGAACAGAAAGCAUAUGCGUCAGGGAUCUGAAUGAUGCAGUGUCGCAAUCCCAUUUUAUAAAUGAGGCAACCAAAACUCGAACAGCUUGAUGCAGAUGAGCAGGUAACCAUGGAAGUCGUGAGCUGAGGCUGCAGAGUCUAGAGCCAGAGUGUGGAAUAAACUUGGGUCUCAAAUCACCCCUGGAGCAAAGCACCCAUCUAAUCAGGAACUUCUACUUUCAACUUUACAUGCGUGAGAAAUGAACUUCUAUCAUGUUAGAGAAAUCCUUACACGGCGCCCUUGAGAGCUUUCAUACUGCAAGUCAUCCAUUUUCCUCCCCUCAAACCUGGCAUCGGAGUUUAUUGAAACAAAGCAAAAUAAAACAAAUAGACAAAGCUCUACCUCCAUCACUUCUGCAGUCUACAUUAACCCCACGUCCAGAAUAUUCACACCUCAGGUCUUUUUCUCACAAUUGAAACACUGGUUCAGAGCCUAACGGAAGGUCUUGGAGGUCCAGUCUAAUUCCCCUCCCCAGGAAGAGGGAUGAGCCUUUGUGGCUGCCUCCAUAAAUGAAAAUGCGAUGGAAAGGAUGCUGCACGACUUAUGAGGCUAAGUCAUAAGAAGAACUAAAGCUUCUACCCAUUUCCACUUCCUUUUGGGAAACGUGUCUUGGGAGCCCUGAGCCAAUAUGUAAGAAGUCCAGCUAUGUAUAGCCACCAUGCUGCAGAAACCACACAGAGAUAAAGAUUCGUGAGGAGUCUCCCCAUUUCCAGUUCCCAGCUGCUUGAGUCCUCCCACCUCCCAGAAUGAACUGUCAGACAUGUGAGUAGAAAUGACUCCAGACCCAGCCUUCAAGCUGUUGUCCCAGCUGACACCAAGUAGAGCAAAGGAGUUGUCUCCAUCAGUCUAGCUCAUAUUGCAGAUUUGUGAGAAAAAAACAAAUGUUGCUGCGUUAAGCCAGUAAAUGCUAGGAUAAUUUGUUAUAUGACAAUGACAAGAGUAACCAGGACACCACCCUUGUGUUAUCAUUACGUUCUCCCCUUGCUUCUUGUGAUGCCCUUGCUUUUCUUCUCUACCAGUUGCUGAGAAUUAGAGGAAGACCUUUGCUCCCACCAAUGUCAACAUUUCUUUACCAGAAAACACAGAGGCAUUUAACUCAUAUUUCGAAGACUUACAGCUUCUUAUAAUGGCCCUGGUGGUUAUACUUUUUGUUCUACUGACUCUAUUUUGUUACAGUUACUCUGCCCACAAAGUGCAAGACCCUUUGUGAUUAUGUUGGGGGACAUCAAUUCAAAUGACACCGUGAUAGCAUUACUGUCAAAUCAUGCUUCCCUCUCAAUGCUGUUGAUGAAGCUGGUGUACCCCAACCCUGUUCUUACAGGUUAAGUUGCUUUUUCCCACUUGAAACAUUGUACAACAGCCAAAAGCUUAUCUGGUCAGUUUUAAUGCGUCCUGCCCCUUCCUAGGACUUAUUGCAAUGACAAACAUAUAAGAGCUGUGAAAACUCUGUGACUUACACACAGUAGGCACCUGGUGUUUUAAGUGCUCUUCCUGAAAUGCUCACUGACAAUAAAACUAUUGAACAGAUCAGGACUGAAAACAUAGCUUUGUUUUGUGCCAGCAAAGACUCUCUUCUCUCCUUUACAGGUUGACAUUGAGCCAUUAAUCAACAGUAUGUUCAACAGUAACUAGUGAGUUAUGAAUCCAACUAUGUGCCUCUAUUU
rnacentral:lncRNA from 10 species